CUAUGACUAGAUGUGGCAGAAUUAUUGGGACAUCAACCUGGUGGCUCAGAUGGUAAAGAAUCUGCCUGCAAUGCAGGAGACCUGGGUUCGAUCCCUGGGUCAGGAAGAUCCCCUGGAGAAGGGAAUGGCAACCCACUCCAGUAUUCUUGCUUGGAGAAUCUCAAGGACUGAGGAAGCUGGUGGGCUAUAGUCCAUGGGAUUGCAGAGUCAGACAUGACUGAGCGACUAACACUUUGACUUUCACUUUCAACCUCAUCAUAAGGAAGGCUUAGUGUUGACAAAUUGAUGCUUUCAAAUUGUGUUGGAGAAGACUCUUGAGAGUUCCUUGGACAGCAAAGACAUCGUAUCAGUCAAUCCUAAAGAAAAUCAACCCUGAAUAUUCAUUGGAAGUACUUAUGCUGAAGCUCCAAUACUUUGACCACCUAAUGCAAAGAGCUAACUCAUUGGAAAAGAACUUGAUCUUGGGGAAGGUUGAGGGCAGAAGGAGAAGGGGGUGACAGAGGAUGAGAUGGUUGGACGACAUCACUGACUCAACGUACCUAAGUUUGAGCAAAUUCCGGGAGGUGGUGAAGGAAAGUAAAGCCUGGUGUGCUGCAGUCCAUGGGGUCGCAAAGAAUCGGAUAUGAGUGAGUGACUGAACAACAACCUCAUAAACACUCGAGGAGGGAAGGGCUCUUGGAUUCCGAAAUGUUGGCAUCACCCGAAUCGCUAGUGGUAUCUGGCUUAAGGAGGAGAGCCAAGAAUGUCCCCCAAAUUGUUUUGGGGUCUACGGCCUGAAAGGUGUGGGGAGAAGGCAGCUGGAGAUCUGAAGUCCUCAGGUGAACAUUGCCUAGUAUUAUUAACUCAAGGAGAAAGCUUUCUGUUAUCUGCUGAGGUCAUCUCAAAUACCUUUCCUGUGGCUGUCAGAGGGAAAUCCAAAAGUUCUGGGCAGGAGCUGGCCAGCCUGAACCCUGCUUCCCCAGACGUGAAGUGGAGACAGUAACACCUGCUCGGAUGACACCAGCGCACCACUGCAGGACUGUUCAAUAACACAGGACUGGUAAACUACAAAUUUGGUUCAAUUCUCUGGGAUCUGAAAAAUGAAAGCAAACAUGUAUUUUGUUCCAGA
rnacentral:lncRNA from 1 species